rnacentral:rRNA from 1 species
CAUGCAAGUCGAGGGGCAGCAUGAUUGAAGCUUGCUUCAAUUGAUGGCGACCGGCGCACGGGUGAGUAACGCGUAUCCAACCUUCCGUACACUCAGGGAUAGCCUUUCGAAAGAAAGAUUAAUACCCGAUGGUAUGAUGAGAUUGCAUGAUAGCAUCAUUAAAGAUUUAUCGGUGUACGAUGGGGAUGCGUUCCAUUAGGUAGUAGGCGGGGUAACGGCCCACCUAGCCGACGAUGGAUAGGGGUUCUGAGAGGAAGGUCCCCCACAUUGGAACUGAGACACGGUCCAAACUCCUACGGGAGGCAGCAGUGAGGAAUAUUGGUCAAUGGACGAGAGUCUGAACCAGCCAAGUAGCGUGAAGGAUGAAGGUCCUACGGAUUGUAAACUUCUUUUAUAAGGGAAUAAAACCUCCCACGUGUGGGAGCUUGUAUGUACCUUAUGAAUAAGCAUCGGCUAACUCCGUGCCAGCAGCCGCGGUAAUACGGAGGAUGCGAGCAUUAUCCGGAUUUAUUGGGUUUAAAGGGAGCGCAGACGGGUCGUUAAGUCAGCUGUGAAAGUUUGGGGCUCAACCUUAAAAUUGCAGUUGAUACUGGCGUCCUUGAGUGCGGUUGAGGUGUGCGGAAUUCGUGGUGUAGCGGUGAAAUGCUUAGAUAUCACGAAGAACUCCGAUUGCGAAGGCAGCACACUAAGCCGUAACUGACGUUCAUGCUCGAAAGUGUGGGUAUCAAACAGGAUUAGAUACCCUGGUAGUCCACACGGUAAACGAUGGAUACUCGCUGUUGGCGAUAUACAGUCAGCGGCUU